CACUGCCUAUUUCACUACUUUGUUUUUUUAUGUAAUAAAAAAAUAACAAAUUAUAUUUCUCAUGCCUUUACUUUGGAAGGUCUAAAUCAUUAGGCUGUCUAUUCAAAUUUCCUCACUUGCUAUCCAAAAUAAGUGACAGCGCCUUCUCAUAUAUUCACGUUAAAGUAUCUUUUCUUCAACAAACAGCGAGUGAUAGAACAUGCUGGUAAUGAUUAUAUGGGACCCUUUUUUGUCUUUUUAUUUUUUUCCAAUUUCCCUCUUGAGGAUCAUUAUCUCGUUAAAAUCUCUAAGGCAACAAAGAUCCAAAGGAGAUUUCAAAAGGUUUCAAAUUUGUGAUUAUUGUUUUAGUUGGUAAUCACAUGGAUAUUCAUAUAUCUCUCUUAAUUACCCUCCUUCACUUUCUAAUUAGCCAAAAAGUUCGGCCAUUUUUUUUUAAUUUUUCAUGAUAAACAACAAAAUUAUGGUGCUUUAGCCCUAUGUCACUUUUGGUUCUUAUUGGUAAUCAAUAUCUCUAUUGUCAUCAAAUACAAUGUUGACUUAUUUAAAGAAUAUAACACUUUGGGACAACAUUGUAGAUCUCCAAGAUAUUCGAAUAUACAAUUUUUCUCAUAAUCGUUGUAUCACUAGUUGAUUAUCAUAAUUAAGAAAAAAAUUAUGUUGCCGAUCAUUUCAUAAUUUUAGAAUUGAAAACGCGUAAUCAUAGUCAAUAAAAUCUAAAUUUACAACUAUUCUCAUAAAUCUUAUUUAUUUAUUUAUAAUUUGAUGACAUCUCAACUUCUUUCCCACGCAUGAACGUGGUUCGAAUGACCUAAAUUUUUUUGUAUACCACAAAUAAAAUUUAGUGACUUAGUUAACUAGCAACCGUAUGCUCAUACAUUAAUUCUUCGUUAUUCUUGAAUCACUUCUCGGUGAUCAUUAUUGACCGUAGCCAUGUGAUUAAUCCACAAAUAAAUCAAAUGGUAGAGAAGUGUGGGCAACUUCAUACAUAACAUGGCACAAAACCAUAUAAUUCCAUAGCGGAAAAUUUUCUUGCAUGAUAUUAAUUCCAUAAGUUCAACUUGGUCUUGAUAAUAUGUUAUCAUCACACAUUCAUGGACCCCCAAAAUUGCAUCCAAAGCAAGUGAAAAUUACACUCCAAUCACAUUGCACCGAAUUUCUCACCACACCCUUACAAAGCCAAAUGGAGUAAUCCCAUUGGUGCUUGUCAGUCACACACCUAAGCCUGCAUAGAGAUAAUUAACUUUAUAUUAAGGUCUAAAUCUUGACUUAGAGUAAGGUCUCACAUGGCAAUAACACUCUCUCCUUCAAACCCUAAUAAUUUUGUUCUCCACUUAACCAUGAACAGUCAUACUAUUGAGAUAAAAAAAAGAAAGAAAGAAAAUGACAAUUCAUGAGAGAGAGAGAGAGAGAGAAGUCAAAACACUGAGAGUGGCCACCAGCCAAGGGUAAUGCCACAGUGUUAUAUUUUUGUGCUGCACAAAAAUUAAAGUGGGAGCCACUUAUAAAACCCCACUCUCUUUAACGUAAGCCAAUCUUGUUUUUGGUUUUUCCUGUAUGUUCAAUUCUUUCAUCAUUCUCUUGUGGAACCCUAACGUUCACUUUUUUUUUUUUUUUUGGCCUCCUUUCUUUCAACGAGGCAAUUUGGAUCUUGCUGCUGCUUAAUUAUUUCUUUUUGCCGCACAUGCUUUUGGCUUAUUAUUAGUUAUUACUAGCUAGUCUUUUUUGCUUUGCAACUUUAAUUAUGCAUUUGCUUAUUAAUAGUCUUUCUUCUAUCAGGCUAAAUAUAUAGUAACUCAAUUUAGCAGUUGUUAAGCAGUCCACCGAUCACUAGAAAAUGAACAUGGAUUCAAUUAUAAACUACGAUAUUUUAAAAUCAACUCGUACAAGGUAAGAAAUACUCAAAUUUAGUCAACACGUAUAAUUUACGUCUACAUAUUAUUAAAUUUGAAUUAUUCAUGCUAACACAACAUUGUAAUUAAAAUUUAACAGCAUUUGUGGGAUAAUAGGUGGCCUCCUGUUGAAGAAAAAACACUCAUGAUGAUCCGUACGUGACCAGGCGGGGUAGACCUUUGAAGAGGAACCUUCAGCGUGUACUGAGUUUCUUAUCCUGCUUGACCACAAAGGAGGGGACCUAAGCCGAUGAAAACGCAAAAGAAAUAAUACAAAACAAGUUAACAUUUUCUCUUUAGCGAUCUUUAGCAAUCGUGGAUUGGUGUCCAGUAGUAUAUUAUUCCCAGGUGAAGUAAAUAGUUCAGUUUGGGCGGGCAUCUCUUGAGGGGUUUAAACACGUAAUCCCAAAUCACUUGCAACACUCACCCUCGUAAUAAAAGAUCAUCUCAUCCUGUGGUGGUCGACAUUCCAUUCCCACUAUAUAUGUUGCUAUUUACUAAACUUCAGUUAAUAGAAUAUCAAGUCCUUAAUACGCACCAUAUACUAAACUUCAGUUAAAAGAGUAAGUACUAAGCAGAGACCACAGUUCUCUUCAUCAUUUAAUGUCUCUGUCAAUGCCAAUAUGUCAUUACAUUCCAUCUACGUUGAAAAUCCAAGAUUUUGAAGUACUAUUACACCAAACCAAUUCUUUGAAGUACUAUUCCACCAAACCAAUUCUUUGUCUCAUCAAUGGAGACAAUUUGUUAAAACACUAUAAUAAAAUUUUUAUAUGCAAUGUGAAUUUCUGUCUCCAAUGUACAUGCAUAUGUGGUCCAACUAGCUGAAAUCUCCUGCAAUCUGCCGUGAGCCCAUGUGCGUUGUCAUGUACUCUCACUCUAAACAAAGCAAAAUUUGAGGUUAAUAACCAAUAUCAUCAGCUGGGAUGGCUUGCCAAAUAAUAUAUGACAACAAAAUGCUUUUGAAGCAUUCAGGUUUCUGAUGUAAUCGGAAUUGCUUGAUGCAGUAGAUGCAAAUCAAAUAACUAAUGUUAAACCUGUGAUCAAUUCAUAUUGCUUUUGGGUUGGAAUAGUUUUAGAUCGGUUUGUGAUGAUAGUGCAGUUCGAAUAUUGGUCACAGAAAGGCCAGAUAUGUUUUCUAAAUUUUUUUAAAAGAAAUUAAACCCCACUAAUGCACUUAUUUAUAUAUUGAUUUGGUUAUUUUUAAUUGAUAACAUAGGGUGAACACGUACAAACGAAAUUCUGAACACGAGACAUUAAUUUUGGUAUCAUAUUAAAUAAAUCAAUAACACAAAAACUUUAGCAGUUAGAUAAAAGGUCUCAAAAUCAGUAUUCAGAAAAGACAAACCUUAAUAUAUGAAGUAUGGUGAAAAUAGAAUAGGAAUUGAUGUAGGAUAAGUAAAGUGAAGCUAUAAGUUUAGAUACCCUUUUCUAGUUUCAUUAGGAUUUGUUUUAUAUUUUCUAGUUUGAUUAAGAUUUGUUUUAUAUACUAUUUUUUAAGUUAUAUUCAUUUUCUUAUAAAGAGUUAUAAGUUUAUCAGAAAUAAGAUAAUUCUAAUUAGCACACAAAUAGGCUUGCUAUGCUUGUUUCCUACGCCUACAAGCUUUUUAUUAAUAAUAUAUAAUUUUUUUUCAAUUGCGAUAUUUUCUUCUUUGUGAGAGUUGAAUUUUUAAAAACAUACAUUAGAACCACAUCAAAUAUCGCUUUUGCAUCAAAAUACUGGAAUCCCAACAGAAUUAAAAAGUAAAUUAAUAAUCCAGUUAAUUGAUUCACUUUGCACAUAAAUAUUUCCUAUCCUUUCUAUGGCUAUUUCGAAGCCUUGUCUUUUACCUUUUAAAGUUCUUGUCCUGCGGAUUGUUUAAAAUAUUUAAAUUAUUGUUCUAAAUUAGUUUUUAAAGGAAAAAAAAAGAAAAAGAAAAUGGCGAGACUGAGAUAUUAUUGUCUUUAGAACGAAAGCGAAGGGACAAUACAGUCCAAUGAUAUUAAGACGCAGACCGCUGAGAAGCGGAAAUUGAGACGCGGGCAAAAAUUACGCGUGGGCAUGUGGCGUGGGGAACACAUCAUCAUACCCGAAAAUUGCAACUAAAUUGCUGGUAGUGGUAGGGUCCUGCUCGUCACGCCCGCCAGCCCAGGCCCGCCUGCCAGAACAGGUAUCAGUGCACAUGACAGUCACGUGCUGCCUCGAUAACCAUUCAGAUCGUGCCACGUACUCACCUUUCAGCUGUUUGGACAUGAUGAAGGGUUUGAAGGGGACAAAGCGUUGUGGGCCGGAGAGUUGAAGUAGGACCCAGUGAGCAUUCUCAGUCCCUCUUUUGCUUGCUUUGUGUUGUGCACAGUGUACAUCACCAAUGAUCAGAUUGGCGUAGCUUUUUGUGUACCUUGGUCCCUCUGAUGUACAUUAUUAUUGGCAUUUGGGGUAGUUUCGUACUUUUGACUAUCAAUCGACUGUUUUUUUGUCUUUGGGCUGGAAAAGUUAAUCACGCGCCUGUUGUAUACGUGGCGAGUAGCGUGGUCAUACCAACCUGCGUUUGUUUUUUUCUUUCUUUUUUUCAACGAACAACGAACAAUCAAUUUCGUAUUUUAUAAAAUUAUUUGUUACUUAAGGUCCGUAUGUUAAUAAUGUACCUUUAAAAAAUAAUUAGUGAUAAAUGUACUAUAAAAAUAAUUAAAUGUAAAGAAAAUUAGUUAAAUAAUUGAUUAUUUUUUAAAAAAAUACUGUAAAUUUUAAAAAUAGUAAUAUGUGCUUGGUAGAUCUUAUAAUUAAGGUUUUGUAAAAACAUAAAUUAUUAAAAUAGACAAAAUGAUAUAUAAAAUUUACUUAUACAUUCAUAAAUAAGUAAAUGAAAUAUUUUUUAUUAUGUAUAUAUAAUAAUUGAUAACCAAAAUAAAUAUUUUAAUAGUAUUUUAAAUUUAAUGAUUUUAUUUCCUAAUUAAGACAAAUAAUUUUAGAUUUUUUUAUAAUGUAUAUUAUGAUAUAUAUAUAUAUAUAUAUAUAUAUAUAUAUAUAUAUAUAUAUAUGUAAGUAUAUUAAAUAUAAAAUUGGUUCUCAAAAUUAAAUUUUUGAAAAGUUAUUUAUUCCCUACUUUUUGAAAUCUACUAUAAGAGAGUUUUUUUUUUCAAAAAUGAUUUAAAAAAAUUCUCAAUAUUGAAAUUAAAUUUUAACUUUUCAAAAUUACUUUUAAACUUCUCAAUAGUAAUCUCAAACAGACCCUUAAUCCCACUAUUCAAUAGAUUAAUGUCACCUUAUUUAAAAUUGUUAAAAUUGAGAUUACCUAACAAGCUUUGCAAAAUUGAAAUCACUCUCUCUAACUGUGCAAACACAAAGGUGUCAAUUAAAAUUAGCAUCAAUAUUGACUAUAAUUGACAAAUCACAAAGCUUGAUGGGAUUUAUACACACGAAAAUUAAUGGACAAAAAAAAAUGUAAAAUUUGAAGAUGAGAAUUAUGUUUUCUGCCUUGGUCCCCCAACAAAAACAUCAGCAUAGUUGCGCUCUUAUCUUAUGUGAAAAUUUUUGAACCCCAUAUGAGUUGUACUUAUAAGAGUAUAGUCUAUUAGUUGAUGCCUUUUUUUUUUUUUUUUGUUCUUGUUUCUUUGAAAUGUUAGGUCAUUUUUAUGGAUCAGACUACGGUGCAACUAUGGUACCGUGCCACAGUUGCAUCCAACCGUUGGAUGUACUUAAAUUAGUAGGGUCCACUGGCAUCCAAUGGCUGGAUACAACUGUGACACGGUACCACAGUUGCACAACAAAUUUCCCCCAUUUUUAGUACUAAUCAUUAAUAUUUUAAGUAAUGUAACAUGUCAUUAUAAUUUUUACUACCUAUUGACCAUCUCACGAUAGUGGAUUGAAUGAAUUUAUUAUCGCUAAUAUUAUUUAUUUUUAAUACCCAAAAUAAAUCUUGAAUUAAAAAAGAAAAGAAAACAGAAGCAUGGACCAACCAUCUCUGCUAUCCCUUUGCUUCCAGAAACAGGAAGCACGCAUUGUGGAGAAGCAAUGCAUGAAUAAAAAAAUAAGGCCACAAAGAUGGCUUCAAUUCCCAAAGUACCCUCAAGAAGUUAAACAACACAUACGUAGAUUACUAGAUUUCUUUAUUUCUUUCUUAGAGUGAAAAACACUUUUAAUUCUAUAAUUAUUAUUUUUCUUUUCCUUUUUCUUUUCUUUCAUAUACACACCCCACUUUUUGUUAUUCUCUGCUUUCUUUUCUAUUAAUUAGUUAAUUUUAGCAUCAUUAUUAUUAUUAUUAUUAUUAUUAUUAUUAUUAUUAUUUUAAUACUUUUACAACAUUCUGUUGAAAACGAUACUUGUUUCUAUUUUUGUUUGCAGCGGGAAUGUGACGACAGAAUUGCUUGUACUGGUCGGUUUAUCAACUUCAGUUUAUAUUUUUGUGCUUUUUGUGUUCCGUGGUGGGUUUUGGUCAAACAAGAUAUAAAUAAUUCCUUCUUAUAAAAUUCGAAUUUAUCAACCAAUCUUUAAUAUCAUCGUUGAAGCCUUCUUACUUCUUGAGAAUAGAACCAUUGAAGGUUCCAGACCCCUUCGAUUUGUAAAGGGAGUAAACUUUCUCAUGUUCUAAGAGUAGGUUUUCGAACUGAACUUUAAAUGGGUCACUAUAAUUGUAAUGUAAUAUUCAAUAAAUAAAUUAAUAAAUAAGAAAGAUUUGCAAUAAUAUUAUUCAUAGUAGUUAAAAAUAAAGUCGAAUUAAUCUUUUUUUCUUCAAAAUCUUGAUCAGCUCUCUUUUGCAUUAAUUCCGCCGACCUAAUCAACUUGUUAAUGAGAUAAAUUUCAAAAAAAAAAAAAAAAACCAAUCUGAUUAAAUAAUGCAAGCCAAUUGACCCCCACCCCACCUGAAAAUGAUACGAACGAAUAAAUAAAUAAAUAAAUAAUUGACAUUGAUAGUGAAGAGAAAAGAUGUUAGAUGGAGGUAUGCUAAAAUACCCAAAUUUUUAAGUGAAUAUAAUGAAAAAAAAUGUGCGAAGAUAAUUGUGUUUGAACCUUUAACCUUAUCUCACGAAAUACUUUAACAACAACAACAAUGAUACAAAGUAAAUGGUCAUCAUGGGAUAUCCUUUAAUUAACUUUUCUCAAGUCAAACUGGGGGCAGAAAGAGAACAAACAGAGAAUUUGGUAUUUAUAUUUGUCUCCUAUUAAAACUUAAAAGUGAGUAUUAUUAAUUGCUAGAAAUUCUUCUUGUUAAAGGAAUUUAUUAAUUGAUUCAUCUACACCCCCACAGACUGCCAAUAAAGUUUAGGACUCAAACUAAGGAAGCUAUUCUUUUUAAAGAUUUUUACUUUUGUAUUUUAUCAUUUAAUUUACUGGGAGGAAACAAAAUUGUAGAAUAUGAUGGCAGAGAUGUUAAAAUUAUGAUGAGGGUUGUCCUAAAUUUGAGGGUUUUUUUUUUGUUGUUGUUUUAUACCGGGGUUGUUGGAUGAAUAUAUAAUUAAAGUUGGUGGUUCAUUUUGUUUGAGAUUUUUGUUUUUGGUUAAUAGGUUUCAUUUGGUUUGAGAUUUUUUUAAUUGAUUUAGUAUGUAUAGAUAUUACAAUACAAAGUUUAUUGGAAAUUUUAUUAUAUAGACUUGUAAUACAAUUCUGAAGUCUAUCGAGAUUAACUUAAAAAUCUACUCUCACUAAUAUUUUGGAGAAAUAUUUACUUACCCAUAUAAGUGAGAAGGAAAAUCUUUGAGUUCCUAUAGACUUGUAAUAUCACCUAAGGGUCUAUCAAGAUUAACUUAAAAAUCUAGUGUCGUUAAUAUUUGAGAAGAUAUUUAGUCCACCAAAUUUGUAGGAGGAAAAAGAACACAUAAGCACUCGAACUUCAAAUUUGAGGGCACAAACCGUAUAUUAAGCCUAGACAUUAGUGGCCGUUAUUGUUUGAGAAUGAAUCAUGCAAUUAAUUAGCUGUGUUAAUAGAUGGUGAACCACUGAACCUUAAUUCAGUAAGACUCAAUGUUAGUUACAAAACGUAAAUUAUUAUUAGUUUUUGCUUUCAUCUCAAUGUUAGUAAAAAAUUACUAUUGUUUUUACUCAUAAAAAUAUAAAAAAUAUAUAUGUUGACAGGGGGUGAUAUUAUGAAAUCAAAAGGUGAAGAGACUAAAUUAGGUAAUAUUCAUUCACUCAUUCAUUUAUUUCAAACAAGCACCCGCUUCUUUAUUUAUUUUCAUGUUCUAAUUUUAAAUUAGCAAAGUCAAUUGUUACACUAAUUAAUAUUAUGGAGCAUGGUGAUUUGAUUGGCAUCCUAUUAUUUUCAUUUAGCAUGCUAGGACGCUAAUCAUGUUACUGGGAUAGUGGGAUCCCAUAAAAUUCAAUAAGCGAAAAUUAUUUUAGAUAGAGUUUUUUGAAUGAGUAAUGAUAGAUAUCUUAAAUUUUUAUCUCAUAUUUUACCCUAAAUAAAAUGUGAUCCAUUGAUUGUUUGAUAAUUUUUUUAUAAGAUACAAGUGAAUUAACUGUAUCAUUCUCACUAAUCAAUUGAUGAAUGCUAUAUUAUUUAAAAUAAUUUUUUAAAAUAAAUAAUUUGAGAUGUGUAACAUUAUCAGCUAAUUUAUUUCUUUAUGACCAAACCAAUGACAAUAAAGUAUUGGGAUUGUGAGCCAUUUAAUCCUUUUAAUUAAGCCCCAUUGAGAAAAGUCUGUAAAUCAGAUGGUGAUGAUCGCCAAUCAAAACAGUAUUCUUGAUAAUACUCCCAAAAUCUGCCUCAAUAUAGUAUUUGCUUAUCAAUGAUUUUAACAGUAAAACGAAUGAUGUUUGCUCAUUUAUUAAAGAAUGUGGUCCAUAGAGUUCCAAUUUCACCAGACACGCACUAAAUUGGGAAUAAAUAGAAAUGAAAUAAAAAGAGGAACUGAAAACAAAUAAUAUAUGAUAAUUUAAACAAGAGUGUGGGAAAAUUGGUGGGAAAUUGAAAUGACUUUCUUGGAUCCUGUGAGGAACAUCGUCACUGUUACCCACAUAUUUAAUCAAAUAUUGUUGUGUUAGCCGAAGAUAAAGGGAAACAAGGAAUGAUGAAAAGUGGAGGCAAAAGAAAAGGAAAAAAGAAAUCCAAGAAACCCAAAAGUAUUAGAUGAAGAGCAGACAAAGGUAAUAUACUUCAGGUGAGAGAAACAAACAGAGAAUUUUUCUUUUUUUUUUUUUAAUUUCUUUUUUCAAAAAAGAAAUACUAGUGCCAGUCUUUAGGAAUAGAAGCUAGUAUACAAAUAAUAACAAGAACAAAGAAAUUGAAAAUCAAAAACAAUCAUCAUGAUGAAACACCAUCUGCAACCAGCACUCCGGAAAAGCAAGAUCACUCUCCAUCAAAACCUUCCUUCCCAUAAAUUUACAUCUCUUAACACCACAAAAUUCUCAACCAAAUUCCCCACUUCUCAAAAUUGAGCCAUGAAACUUCCUCUUUUCUUCCUCACAUUCUUUCUGCACUUACUGGUUGUUUUCUCAGCCAACACACUUCCUCUCCCGCUCGUCUCUCUUCUCUCCAUCAAGGCUUCUCUGAAAGAUCCCUUCAAUAAUUCUUUCCAUCUUUUUUUUNNNNNNNNNNNNNNNNNNNNNNNNNNNNNNNNNNNNNNNNNNNNNNNNNNNNNNNNNNNNNNNNNNNNNNNNCCUAAAUCGUCUCAAAUCACUUCACUUGAUCUCUCCCGCCGCUCCCUGUCUGGUCCCAUUCCGCCGGAAAUCAGGUACUUAACGAGCUUAACCCACUUGAAUUUGAGUGCAAACGCCUUCGACGGGCCUCUCCAACCAGCCAUUCUCGAACUAACUAAGCUAAGAACAAUCGACAUCAGCCACAACUCCUUCAACUCAACCUUCCCACCAGGAAUCUCCAAGCUCAGGUUCUUGAGAAUCUUCAAUGCUUACAGCAACAGCUUCACGGGCCCACUACCGCUAGAAUUUGUCCAGCUGAACUCUCUCCAGCAGCUAAACCUUGGCGGAAGCUACUUCGACGGUGAAAUUCCAUCGGAUUACGGCAACUUAUCAAGCCUACGGUUUCUUGAUUUGGCUGGAAAUUCUUUGACAGGAUCAUUGCCACCCCAGCUAGGGUUGCUAACUCAGCUGGAGCGUAUAGAGAUUGGUUACAAUAACUUCCAAGGCGAAGUCCCAGUUGAAUUCGCUUCGCUCGUAAAUCUCAAGUACAUGGAUAUCUCAGCUUGUAAUCUCUCUGGCACCCUUCCGAGUGAGAUAAGUAACUUGACUAAACUCGAAAUGCUACUGCUGUUCAAGAACCAUUUCACCGGCGAAAUCCCGGUGAGUUACGGCAACUUGCAAGCUCUACAGGUUCUUGAUUUAUCCGAUAACCAACUCUCGGGGCCAAUCCCUGCGUCGUUAGCUUCUUUGAAAGGGCUGACGAGACUCAGCUUAAUGAACAAUGUCCUCUUCGGCGAAAUUCCGCAAGAUAUCGAGCUGUUAGCGGAUUUGGACACCCUGCUUUUGUGGAACAACCAUUUAACGGGAGUGCUCCCCCAGAAGCUCGGGUCAAAUGGCAAGUUGUUGACCGUCGAUGUCUCCUCGAAUUCGCUCACGGGUCCUAUCCCGCCGACUAUUUGCGACGGCGACAGGUUGUUUAAGCUUAUUCUAUUCUCCAACAACUUUACGUACUCCAUUCCAGAGAAUCUUGUAAACUGCUCGUCGUUGUCAAGGUUACGAAUCCAAGAUAACCAACUCAACGGCUCUAUCCCUCAAGGUUUUGGCCUCUUGCCGAACUUGACGUUCAUGGACAUGAGCCGUAACAGUUUAUCGGGAGAAAUUCCUCGAGAUCUCGGCAAUGCGCAGAAGCUGGAGUACUUAAACAUAUCGGAAAAUUCAUUUCAAACGAGCCUGCCGAGUAACAUAUGGAGCGCGCCAAAUUUGAAGAUUUUGUCAGCGAGUUCGAGUAAGUUGACAGGGAAGAUUCCGGAUUUCAUCGGCUGUAAGAGUAUUUACAAGAUAGAGUUGCAUAACAACUUGCUCAAUGGCAGCAUUCCCUGGGAUAUUGGCCACUGCGAGAAGCUCUUGCUGUUGAAUUUGAGCCGAAAUUCGCUUACGGGGAUUAUCCCCUGGGAGAUAUCGGGGCUUCCUUCGAUCACGGACGUUGAUCUUUCUCACAACUUCCUCACCGGCACCAUCCCUUCCAACUUCGAAAACUGCAGCACGUUGGAGAGCUUUAACGUGUCGUAUAAUCUGUUAACGGGACCGAUACCGGCUUCGGGGACGAUAUUUCCGAACCUUCAUCCGUCUUCAUUUAUCGGAAAUGAAGGUCUCUGCGGCCGAGUUCUGACGAAACCGUGUCCGGCAGACGGGCUUGCCGCCGGUGACGUGGAAGUGCGUAACCACCAGCAGCAGCCGAAGAAAACCGCUGGAGCUAUAGUGUGGAUCAUGGCAGCCGCGUUCGGUAUCGGAUUGUUUGUUCUCGUCGCCGGGACUCGGUGCUUCCGCGCGAACUACAGCCGUGGAUUCAGUAACGACCGAGAAAUCGGGCCGUGGAAAUUGACGGCGUUUCAGCGGUUGAAUUUCACGGCGGAUGAUGUAUUGGAGUGUUUGUCUAUGAGCGAUAAGAUUCUGGGGAUGGGGUCCACAGGGACUGUCUACAAAGCGGAGAUGCCAGGUGGCGAGAUCAUAGCGGUGAAGAAGUUGUGGGGUAAGCAUAAGGAGAAUAUCCGACGGAGACGAGGGGUGCUCGCUGAGGUGGAUGUGUUGGGAAACGUGAGGCAUAGAAACAUAGUGAGGUUGUUAGGGUGCUGCAGCAACAGGGAGUGCACGAUGCUGCUCUACGAGUACAUGCCGAAUGGGAAUUUAGACGAUUUAUUGCACGCCAAAAAUAAAGGAGAAAAUUUGGUGGCCGAUUGGGUGACGAGGUACAAGAUUGCGCUCGGUGUGGCGCAGGGGAUUUGCUAUCUCCACCACGACUGUGAUCCGGUGAUCGUCCACCGUGAUCUCAAGCCGAGCAAUAUUCUAUUGGACGGUGAGAUGGAGGCCAGGGUGGCCGAUUUCGGCGUGGCUAAGCUGAUCCAGAGUGACGAGUCCAUGUCCGUCAUCGCCGGGUCCUACGGCUACAUUGCGCCAGGUACGUUUUGUUUUUGUUUUCGAGUUCCUUUUUGUUGGGUUGACCAAAUGUUUGACACUGCAUAUGCGCACGUUAGCAAUCGUACAAAAUUAAAUUACAUCAUUUUAGCUCAAGUUAGCUGAGGUUGAUUAUGAUGAUAUUAGUCCAUACAUUCCUUUGUCCUUAGCUAAAUUGAGCAAAUCAAUCCCAUCCUAUUAUUCUUUACAGGAUCUUGACAGUAGAGUAGAGUUGGACGGACUUGACAACUGAGUUAUCUAGAUUAAGCGACGAUUUAGCUUACCUUACCCUUAAAAUUAACUAAUAAAAAAAUGAGUUUAUUUGAAAAUGACACAUUUAUGAUAUGGGGCGGUCGAUUUCGGCUCUAAAGUAAUAAAGAUUUCCCUUCUUUUUCGAUUAUCUUCAAAUUGUGUUUGAUAAAAGAUGGCUUAUGGAAUCUAAGACUUUAGAGACUUUGAAUUGAUUCUAAAUUUAGAAACGGGAAACUUUGAUUUAGAUAAUUUACAUCAUAAUUAUCGAACAUAAUUUUCAGAAAGCUAAUUUAAAGAAUAAAAAUACUGUGCUAAUUUUAAAUUUUGUAUUUCUAAAUUAGAUUAGAUUGAAAUAAAUUUCAUAAAGUAAUAAUAAUGAUACGAACACAAAUUUUUUACGUAUAAAAUGACGUGUCAAUAUAAUAUUAGUCAGAUUGAAAAGAAGAAAGAUUCAAUGUAAUCAAUGAAGUGGGCUCAUGCAUGGGUAUGGCCAUAAUUGAAAAUUUAGGGGGGACCAAAUGUUAUGAGAAUUAACAUUUUGGGAUUAAAGUUGAAAAAGAGAAUUUAGUUCUAUAGGGCUAAAUCAGAAAAUUAUUAUUUUAAAAGUUCAAAUUAUAAGGAAAAAAAUAAUUUUUUUUUUCAGCCAACGGAGACUUGAAUUCAUAUCCAACCACUAAUGUAUUGGCACGAAUUUAAACUGAUAAAAUAAUACUAAAUUAAGGAUAAGAAAAUUUGUACAAAUAGACUCAAUUUUCUUUUUCUCUUUACUAUAAUGGUUAGUACUACUAUGCGCCAGGGGGCGGGUUGUCCAAUUAUGAACACAUUUAAACAAAAGGGCCUGCUGCCGUUUAGAGUGAUGGGCAACGCCACAAGAGCACUAACCAAAGCAUUCAGUUCUCUGUAACAGUUUUUCAAAUAGUGGACUAAUGCGCGUGAUGAGACUUCCCUUUUUCCUUUAGCACUUUUUCUGUUUUCACAAGUCGGUUUGGCAAGAUUUGCCCAAUAUCUUUGGGUCCCCACCAUGAAUUUAACUUCAACAUUGACCAUCAUUAUGAUCAUUGACUUUAGGCAUCCAAUUGAACUUUUGUCUGUGUAAUUGUAUUUGCAGAGUAUGCAUACACACUCCAAGUUGACGAGAAGAGUGACAUAUACAGCUACGGGGUGGUGCUAAUGGAAAUUAUAAGCGGUAAAAGAUCAGUUGAUGCUGAAUUUGGAGACGGGAACAGCAUUGUGGAUUGGGUGAGGUCCAAAAUCAAGACUAAGGAUGGUAUCAAUGACGUUUUGGACAAGAAUGCCGGGGCCUCGUGCGCAUCCGUGAGGGAAGAAAUGAUGCAAAUGCUAAGAAUUGCAUUGCUAUGCACUAGCCGGAAUCCGGCUGACCGACCCUCGAUGAGAGACGUCGUAUUGAUGCUUCAGGAAGCGAAGCCGAAGCGGAAAUUGCCCGGAAGUUUGUUCGGCCGCGGCGGCGGCGGCGGCGAUGUUGUGAUUAGUGUUGGCGAUAGUGAUGAUGCUCUAGCCCAAAAGGCUACAGUUGAAUGUUAAUAGGAUUAACGUUACGUUUUUUCUUUUAAUUUUUUUUUUCCGGCUAAUUUUCUAAUGGUGGGGAUUGGUAUAGAAGUGAUUUUUCUUUUCUUUUUUUUUUCGUGUCUUUUUUCAAUGCAAUUUUCAGGUGUUAUUUUUAAAUUCGGGUGUUACAAGUUACAUUCUAGAUAAUGACUCUGGUUGUUGAGGCUUAUAUAUGAAUUAUGAGGUAUAUGACGUUGUUAGUUUGAAAUAUGGUGGGAUGACCGACGAAUAUAUGGGCAAGUUGUGCUUCGCGGCAUGAAAAGGCACAAUUUGAAAAAGUAACACAAUCGUGAUAAGGCAGAUCGGGCACAAUUCGAUAUACAGGAAUAUGAUUUAUACUUAACAAUAUAUUAUAUCGAAAAGGAUCUGUUGAUGCAAAAAUCUGGCUGUGUUUGUUGGAACGAUCAAAUUGCUACAUCAACACUUAAAUUUAUUCUGAUGGGGAAUGAUGUCGCUUACUUCAACGAGCAUAUUCUAACGAUCAUGUUAACUUUUGCACUUCUUACAUCUGUAAUCACAGAGAAGAGUUAGGAAACGCCGAAUGUUUUUUUGACGAAAAUCCUUUGAUGUUUAAGUUAAUUUUUGGAUUUUUUUGGAAAAAUUAAGCCACUGUUCAAUGUGACUUAGUAAUUUAUAUCUGGAAUAAAAGUAUUAAAAUGCACAAAAGGAAAAAAAAAAGUUCUGGAUUAACAAAGGCAGAGUUUCCCCCUAGUUUUUUUGUGUCUUGCAAGGCCAAGCAUCUCAAAAUACUUCUAAUAAUAUUGGCCAAUAUUUUGAUGAUUUUGGAGGAUCUAAUAAUGAUAUCUCAUAUUAUUAAAUAAUUGUUCUAAUUUAUGCUAGUAGUAGUAACUUUUUUAAUUUGUGUUAAUUUAAUUUUGUAUUUUUGAUUUUGUAAUAUGUAAUCUAGUAAUUAAUGUUAUUGCCAUUUUAUUUUUAUUAUUAAUUUUUGUGUUGAAUUUUUUAUUUAAAAUAUUAGUAUAAUAUUCAAAAAUUAAAAAAUGAAACAAUAAUAAUAAUAAUAACUUAAAAUAUUAUAUAAAAUAGGACAUCUAUGUAAAAAAAAAAGUAAUAAGGAUAUUUGUGAUUUUUUUCCUAUCACCAAAUGAAUAGUGUUGCACCAUAUUUGGUGCAAUACUAACACCAUUUUGGUGUUAAGGCCAUCUCCAAUGCUUAACAUCAUUUUAGUGUAACACCAACACAAAAAAUGUACAUUUUUCACACCAAAUUACUAUUUCAUCUCGAACCCAUUUACACUAAAUUUUACACCAAAAAGAAUAUUCUUCUUUUUAUGCUCAAUAAUUAAUUCAAUUAACACAAUAAAUAUUAAAUUCAAAUGAUACGAGCCCAAAAUAAGAAAAAAAAUUGGAGAUGGUCAUUUUAAGUUAUUAUUAUUAUUUUUGUUAUUUUUUAAUUUUUGAAUAUUAUACUAAUAUUUUAAAUAAAAAAUAUUCAACACAAAAAUUAAUAAUAAAAAUAAAAUUCCAAUAACAUUAAUUACUAGAUUACAUAUUACACUCUGAAAUGCACUAAUUGAUCAUUUAUGGGAUGAAUUAAGUAAUUCGAAUAACUAGAGUAUUAUUGUUAUUGUAUUGUGUUUUUCUAUAUUAUUAUUGUUAUUUAUUGUUAUUGUAUUUUUCUAUAAUAAUGUAAUGUUUAAUUUUCAUAAUGUACUAAUUUAGUUAAUUAAAUGCAAAUUUAAUAAUUUUCUAUAUUUUUUUGUUAAUCGAUAUAAAAUUACUUAUUACUUAAUUAUCUAUAUUAAUAGUAAUAUUUAUUGUGUUAAUUGAAUUAAUUCUUGAGAAUUAAAGGAAUAAAAAGAAAAAUAUUCUUUUUGGUGUAAAUGGAUUGAAGAUGAAAUAGUAAUUUGGUGUGAAAAAAGAUACAUUUUUUAUGUUGGUGUUACACCAAAAUAGUGUUAUGCAUUGGAGAUGGCCUUAUGAUGCAAAUUUUAUACUCAUAGCAGCAGCCCUAUUUGCAUGAAUUUAUUUUUAUAUUAUUUCAAAAUUUCAAACACUUUGUUUUGGUUUUACUAUGAGUUGCCUGGAAGUUUGUCCGGCCAAAUUGUUCCUUUUCUUUUAUUUUUUGUUUUAUUCUUUUUCCUUAUAUCUAUAGUUACAGAGAUUUUUCUUUAUCCAGAUUUAAAUUAAUUUGUAUAGAUAAUUUGGUGUUUGUUAUGAAAAUUACAUGUAAUCGAUCUAUUUCUGUACAAAGAAUGUAGUGUUGUAUCAGUUGGUGAACUUAUUAUGAUGGUGGAGGAUGAUUUAAAAGAGUGGGUGCAAGCUCUAAAGACUAAAAUAAUGCCGUGUACACUUAGAACAAAGGUAUCCAGACGUUCCACUGCACUGAAUUUCCUUCCUCUUGCUCAUUAUUGGUGUAUGUGGAUCGAUUAACUGUAAAUUUGUGAUUUGUCUACUAUAGACUUGUGAUUGUUACUUGACUAUAUAAUGCCGCUCAAUUGUCUGAAGUAGGCCCAGUUUUGAAGCUGUGGCUGAAGAGUAAAAUGUUGCAUCAAGUUUAUGAUGCCAAUUUAAAGAGUAGUCUCUUCAUGUGGGUCUUCAUUGUACUUUUAAAUUUGGUGAUUUUUUUUAAUAUUAAUAAUACAAUUAGAGAAUUUAACUUUUACGAAACACUAUCGCGAUUGCCCGACGACUUGAUAUCGUUUACAUUAUUAAACUCUUAUAAAGUACCGUUCAAAUUACCUAAUUACUGGUAUUACAUUUAGACAACUAAUUGAGAUUAUUAAUUUUUUUUUUUUAUCUUCUUGAAUAUUCAAGAGAAAGACUACGAUAAUCUCCACUCAAUUUUUUUUUUAUCUUUGAAGCUGUGGCUGAAGAGUAAAAUGUUGCAUCAAGUUUAUGAUGCCAAUUUAAAGAGUAGUCUCUUCAUGUGGGUCUUCAUUGUACUUUUAAAUUUGGUGAUUUUUUUUAAUACUAAUAAUACAAUUAGAGAAUUUAACUUUUACGAAACACUAUCGCGAUUGCCCGACGACUUGAUAUCGUUUACAUUAUUAAACUCUUAUAAAGUACCGUUCAAAUUACCUAAUUACUGGUAUUACAUUUAGACAACUAAUUGAGAUUAUUAAUUUUUUUUUUAUCUUCUCGAAUAUUCAAGAGAAAGACUACGAUAAUCUCCACUCAAUUAUUUUUAAUUGUAGAAAAAAAAUUGUGUCCAUUAAAACUCGAACAGGUGCCCUGACGGAUGUGAGAGCAGCAGCCCACCACUCGGCUUACCGACUUCAUGAAACAACACCGAGUGCUAUACGGGCGGCAGCAAGUGGCAAAAUUGGCGAAUCAUUUGAAGAGCAUUGUGGGAACAGAAACUGCCACACUACUAGCUCUUGAGUUCCUUUUCAGCCCAAGAUCUUACUAGCCCUUGGUCCAUUGGUGUUUAUAUCCUACAAAACUUGCAAUAAUUAAAUGACUAUGCUCUUUAGAGACAAUACUAAAUGGUACAACACUCGACUGCUCCCGCAUUCUUUUUUUUUUUUGGGGGGGGGGGGGGGGGGCUUAUUGACCUCGCAGAUUUUUUAUAUCCUCUGUACCAACCAUCAUUGAAUUAAUGAAUUUUACAUGACUACAUAUACCCCAACUUACAAUAAAGGAAACAUCCUCUUGUGUUUCUGGCCCACGCAUGCUGUAGUGUGGAAGAUCUUCUUCUGAAAUAUACAAGUAAAUUUAGUCGGUUCUUGACUCAACUCUCCAAUUAGUCGGGACUUAAAGAAAAUUUUCCUCUACAUAUUUAGAAGUACAUCCGAACAGUAUAAUAGACCCUUGCAAAUAACCCAUCCAUGCUUAAUGCUUUAUGGUUGUAAGUAUAGGAACAGAAUUAUAUAACUUCGAUCUGGUUCAGGAUCCAUAACUUUAUUAAAAAAUGAGAAAGCUAUCAAAUUGUAUAAUUUAAUAACUUAACUGUCAUUACACUAUUAAACUCUACCGUUUAAUAAUUUUUUUAAGUUUUAACAAAUCCAGAAUUAUAAAUUGAAACAUUUCUAUACGUUUGUAAAUAUAACAUUUAACCAAAAAAAAAAAACAAAGAACAAGCUUUUAAUUGAUGCCAGCUGCAUGACCUCAUUGACCCCCAAAAAGAAAAGAAAAAAAGAAAAAAAGAAAAAAAGAAAAGAGAAAAGAGGCCUAUUCACUCCAUUUUCACGUGAAGAGGUCGUAAAAUCCUCGCCGUUUAGCUAUUAUUGUUCGUUUGCAUGUACAGAAUGAGGACGACCUUCUUACGUCGUUCUAACAAAGAAGAAAGUGAACACGUAAGCGUGUGGAGAUGUCAGCAUUGAAACGUGGCUUCAAUUCGAAACACAUCGGCAUGCAAACUCGAAACUUCAGGAUCACUUCUCCCAGUUGAAUCUCUCUCUUUCUCUACAUAUAUAAUACACACACACACACACACCCCCCAAAUAAAUCAAAUGCACAGUUAGCAAGCGAAGUGAUCGUAUAUAGAAAGAAUAUGGCAACUUUUUGUUCAGGUAAUUCACUUAAUUUAGACUAAUUAGUUGAAAGUGAUGAUUUCAUUUUUUUUUUUCACUUAAUUUAUAAGAUCUUAUAUAUAUAUAAUUUACACGAUAAAAUUAAUUAAUUAUUUUACAGGUAAGACCUCGUGGCCGGAGCUGGUGGGUGAAAUUGGGGCGGUGGCCGCUGCAACGAUAAAGCUGCAGAACCCCAUCGUGAAUCCAAUCAUACUAAUGCUUGGAACUCCGGUGACUAGGGACUUCAGAUGUGAUAGGGUUUGGGUUUGGGUGGAUGCAAUAGGUCGGGUGAGCAAACCGCCUGUUGUUGGCUGAAUGAUAUGCACCUUUCCAUGGUAAGCCUAUAUCACUUUGUAAAUUGGUACCCUAAUUAGUACUGCAUUAUAUUGUCAUACUUAUGGGCUUAAUCGAGUGGUUUUCAAAUAAUUUUUUUUACGUCGACAGUAACCCGAAUGUGUUUUACUGUUUUAUAUGCUGGUCCAAAUAACAGUAAUGCUACUAAGUUUGAGUUGUAUCUAGAGUGAUGUGUGUAAAUGACGUGGCAUGUAUGCUGAUAUUAUUAAUCUAAUUAAAUCUCUCUCGAGUCUGUGAGUUAAUCAUCUUAUCAUUUUUCUUUCAUACAGUGAUGGAUAGUUCUUGUAGAGUAUCAGUUAGAGAAACGUAUGGCUGUAUGGGUUGCUGACGUUGCGGCCUGGGGGGCAAUUCGAGAAAAUCCUAAUUAAAAUUAACAUAUUGUUUUGUAAAAAAUUGCGUUUUGGGUCCUUAGUUUGCAGUUCAUAGUAUUUUUGUUCUCACUCGAAUUUGUAUUCUCUUCAUCUUAUCUCCCCUUGAUGAAUGAUUAGUAGUAUUGUUUCAUAUGAUGAAAACUCUUUCCUUGAUUAGUAGUAAGUAAUUCGAAGGGGCUAGUAGAUUCUGUGGGGGGAGAGGUCCAUUGGAAAACGAAGAUAACAUAUCUUAUAUUUGAGUUCUAUUUAAAAAAAAAAAAUUAAAUUUCUCUUUCAAUCUUAUUAUUAUUAUUUAAUUUAUGCAUGGUUGGAUGGUGAUACAUGUGAGAGCUUAGAUGAGAGAUGGUAGAAAAAACCAAGAGCAGUGAUAGGGGAGUGUUUUUUUCUCUUUCACCUCACGUAAAUUAUCCAUCACAUGCAGCACAAAAUAUAUAAAAAUAGAUAAUUGUAAACAUAUAAAUUAAGUGCAAAUCACAUGCGAAAAUUCGGACGCAUUAAUUAAUUAUAAUCUCUUGCCAUAAUUAUACAAGCAAAGAUGUGGAGCGAAACAAACGUACAGAAUGUGUCGGAAGCAAGGCAUAAGACUGAUAAACAAUUGCAUGCAUACAGUAUUUGGGAACAGCAUACAUGCGUAUUGUGCUCUCAAAUUAAUGAAUGAAGGGCAUUACAAUAUUAUCAUUUUAUUUAUUCCAGAAAUAGAUGGUAUUAGUUAUGAGAGGUUUUGUCUCUCGCUAGAUAUAUAUAUAUAUAUAUAUAUAUAUGAGACGACAACACAUGCAUGCAGGGGAGCAUGGUUUUAUUACAAGCUCAAGUGCUGGGUACUACGAAAAGUUUGAUUAGAAUUAAUUAAAACUUGCUUUCAAAUCCUCCGCCAACACCACCUCCAGAACCACCUCCUCCACCGGCACCGGCACCGGCACCUCCAAAGCCACCACCUUGUCCAUUUCCACCUCCAAACCCACCGCCAUUGCCGGCCCCAAAUCCACCACCAUUUCCACCCCCAUUACCACCGCCAUUGCCGCCUCCAAAGCCACCACCAUUUCCACCUCCAGCACCGCCGCCGUUGCCUCCUCCAAAGCCACCACCAUUUCCACCACCAUUACCACCGCCAUUGCCGCCUCCAAAACCACCACCAUUUCCACCUCCAGCACCGCCGCCAUUGCCGCCUCCAUAGCCACCACCGUUUCCACCCCCACACGCCGCCAUUGCCUCUCAUAGCCACACCACUGUUCACCCCAACGCCCCACAGCACNNNNNNNNNNNNNNNNNNNNNNNNNNNNNNNNNNNNNNNNNNNNNNNNNNNNNNNNNNNNNNNNNNNNNNNNNNNNNNNNNNNNNNNNNNNNNNNNNNNNNNNNNNNNNNNNNNNNNNNNNNNNNNNNNNNNNNNNNNNNNNNNNNNNNNNNNNNNNNNNNNNNNNNNNNNNNNNNNNNNNNNNNNNNNNNNNNNNNNNNNNNNNNNNNNNNNNNNNNNNNNNNNNNNNNNNNNNNNNNNNNNNNNNNNNNNNNNNNNNNNNNNNNNNNNNNNNNNNNNNNNNNNNNNNNNNNNNNNNNNNNNNNNNNNNNNNNNNNNNNNNNNNNNNNNNNNNNNNNNNNNNNNNNNNNNNNNNNNNNNNNNNNNNNNNNNNNNNNNNNNNNNNNNNNNNNNNNNNNNNNNNNNNNNNNNNNNNNNNNNNNNNNNNNNNNNNNNNNNNNNNNNNNNNNNNNNNNNNNNNNNNNNNNNNNNNNNNNNNNNNNNNNNNNNNNNNNNNNNNNNNNNNNNNNNNNNNNNNNNNNNNNNNNNNNNNNNNNNNNNNNNNNNNNNNNNNNNNNNNNNNNNNNNNNNNNNNNNNNNNNNNNNNNNNNNNNNNNNNNNNNNNNNNNNNNNNNNNNNNNNNNNNNNNNNNNNNNNNNNNNNNNNNNNNNNNNNNNNNNNNNNNNNNNNNNNNNNNNNNNNNNNNNNNNNNNNNNNNNNNNNNNNNNNNNNNNNNNNNNNNNNNNNNNNNNNNNNNNNNNNNNNNNNNNNNNNNNNNNNNNNNNNNNNNNNNNNNNNNNNNNNNNNNNNNNNNNNNNNNNNNNNNNNNNNNNNNNNNNNNNNNNNNNNNNNNNNNNNNNNNNNNNNNNNNNNNNNNNNNNNNNNNNNNNNNNNNNNNNGUAACCACUAUCUUGUCCACCUCCAACACCACUGCCACCACCGUAAUUACCACCUCCUAUCCCUCCACCGUUACCCCCACCGUAACCACCACCUUGUCCGCCUCCAACACCACUGCCACCACCGUAAUUACCACCUCCUAUCCCUCCACCGUUACCCCCACCGUAACCACCACCUUGUCCGCCUCCGACACCACUACCACCUCCUAUCCCACCGCCACCGACACCCCCACCUGAACCACCACCUUGUCCACCUCCAACACCAUUACCACCUCCUAUCCCGCCACCGGUACCUCCACCUGAACCACCGCCUUGUCCACCUCCAACACCACUACCGAAUCCUCCGCCGGUUCCAAGGCCUCCACUACCUCCUCCUGCACCACUUCCACCACCAAAACCAACUCCGGAGGCUUUAGAAACCUCAUCUUUCUCAAGUCUCCUACAUUCCGAAAUUCCAAUCACCAAUACCAACACCAGAAUCAUCACACCAGCAUACUUAAAAAGCCUCCCCAUCUUUCUAAAACAGUCAAAGAAAGACACAAAUGCUUGCUUUUGCUGUGAUGCUAAGCUUCGAAGCCCUAGAGCUCUAUUUAUAGGAUAACCAAAGCAAAACCGAUUAAUGCAUGCAGUUACGUGUUCUCUCUUGAAUCUUUGCAUGCAAUUAAUUAUCAGCGCACGUAGUUUUCUUACUUAAAUGAAACGUCCCAAAAUUCAACUCAGUUUGAAAAAAGGAACAUAUCAUCAGACAGCCCGUGAAAUAAUAAUGAGGUUGCGUUCCCCAUUAUUCAGCUACCAAUUAACAAAGGAAACAUGUACGAUAUCAUUCAUCAGUGACUAUUAAUUCUUAUCAACUUAAUUAGAUCACGAUAAGAUAUUGAAAGCUUGGCAACUUUAAAGUUAAUUAGACAUUGUUUUGCUCAAGGGACCAACAGUGUGUUAUGUACAGCUAGCUAAGCUAAGAGAUUUGGAGAUAUUAAUGCGUGCAAUCAAAUCAAAUGGACCAUACUCAGAGGCAGAGGGUAGUGGGGGUUGGCCUGGAUUGUAGCUGGGGUAGUCUUGGAAAAUUUUUCUAGGACCAUUAAUUUUAGGGUGAAAAACUAUAAACCACAUAGUAAUUAUUAUUAUUAUUAUUAUUAUCUCAUAUCCUAUUUUCACUCUUAUAAUUAUUAAGAUUUGAGACUCGCAAGUACUUAGUACCUCCGUUUUAUUUAACUGUUAAGGGGAGAAUAAGCAUGGGAGGCCCAAUUAAAAUGAUAAAAUGAUUACAAUAGGCUCACAGUCACAGCUGAUAGAAACUUUUGAUGUUAAUCUGCGAUGGCAUGAAAAAUAAUAGAACAAUUUCAGGGUUGACCAUUUUCUGUCUUGAAAAAAUCAUUUUUUAAGGGCUGAUUAAUCGGUUUUAAUUAGACAAAGUCACGUCUUUAUAUUUGCUUACCCCUGAGUACAUACUUGCUCUAGCCUCUAGUGGCAAUAAAAUUUUUUCUGUUUGUGUUUAUUAAAAAGAAUUAUAACGUUGAAUUGAAUGAAAGACAAGAAAUAAGAAUGUGAUAGUUUAUUUCAUAUUGAAAUUAAAACUUUCAAUAUCAAGUGAAUUUUGAAAAAUAACAUGUUGAGAAAAGUGAAAGAAUCAAAGAGUAUAAAUUAUUAAGAGAACAAAUUAGAAGGUGAGAGAAUAAAAAAUAAUAAUAAUACACUGUAGGGUCCACUUAUUAUUUAGUUUUGAAUUAAUAUUUAAUUUCAUCCAUUGUUAAACACUAAGAAUUUGUGUAUAUUCUUGUGUCAAAAAAAGGGGGCUUCAAAACCUAGUUAUCUCUAUUUAUAGUGGGGGUUCCUUCAUUUAAAAUUUUGACUUAAAAGUGAAAAUCGUGACUUUUAAUCUAAAAUUCAAUAAACGUGUAAGCAUACAUUCAAAGAUUAUUUCAAUUUAAUCUGGGUGAAAAAGAAAAAGAAAAUCAAAUGUACCACACGAGGAGAUGGAGACGGUGGGUAGAGGCCAGAAGGGCUAGCUUUUAGAAAAUUUCUUUUAUGUCCAUUAACUUUUGGAAAAUAUUUAUAAACCAUAAUGAGAUAAUUUUUUGUAUUGGUCCUUAACAUACAAAUUUUUUUUUUAAAUCUCUGACAAAAUAAAUAAUUUUCAUGACAAAACUAUGGUGCAACUGUGGUACCAUACCACAGCUGCACCUAGCCAUUAGAUUUAGCUGCACACAUAUACUAUAGCUGAAUCUAAUGGCUAGGUGCAGUUGUGGUAUGGUACCACAGUUGCACCAUAGCUAGACCCUAAUUUUCAUAUUUAAUCCCUAAAAGAUUCUUAUAUUUACAUUAAAAAAUUAUAAUUCAAAACAAUUACUCAAUUUUGUCUCAGGGGCUUAGCCCAAUAAGUUUCAAGCAACUUUUCUUAGUGCAUCACUCGACCUUAAAUCUUUAAGAAAGAAUGAGAUUAAAAAUUAAUGUAUGAUUUGGUCACUCAUCGACUUUUUAUUUUUAUUUUUAUAAAAAAAGAAUAAUACUUACUUUAGCAAGGGCUAAAAGAAGUGCAUAGUUAUCACACUCGUAUGUCAAUACUAGAGGUGGCCAAUGAGCUAGACGACAUAGGCACGACACAUGUCCGUAUAGUAUGGCACGGUACGAACACGUUUCGGUAGAGUACGCGGCAUGGUACAGCACGCACGUGAGCUGGACCUGGCUUAGAUUUUAGGCAUGUGGGCUUUAAAAGCACGACAUGAUUAGAGAUGGGCAAAACACAACAUGCGAAAAAACACGUUUAAUUUUUUAAUGAAAGUAAAUUUAAAAUUUUAUGAUUUUAUAAAUAACUUGAAAUUGAAUCUUUUAAUAUAUUUUAUUAGCUCAAGUUUUUUAAUUUAUUUAAUUCUUAGUUUCAAAAAUAAAAUAAAAUUGAUUUAUGUUUAUAAUUUAUUAAAUAAAUAAUUGAUAUCAUGAUUUUAUAAAUGUGUAUUAAUAUUAUUAUAAACUAUGAUAUAUGACUCUACGUAAUUCUAAGUUAACAAUUAAGUUAACCUUUAAAAAAAAUUAUUAUUGUUGUUGUUGCUGUUGUUAAGUACUAAAAAAAGAAUUAUAAUAUAGAGUCAAACUUAGUAAUUAAUAUUAUAUUCUCUUAUUAUUAUUAAUUUAUUAUUAUUGAAUAUGAACUUGAGUUUUGAAUUCUUUAUUCUAUUAAAUUUGAAUAAAGGCACGUGAAUCCAAAAAAAUACAAAAGCUUAAAAAAAAUAAGACAGCAACUUGACAUGCGCUUUAAAAAAAAAGAAAAAAAACUUAGUGAGCUUUUUUUCUUAGGCACUGCACGGCACGUGUGGUGGGCUGGGCCUAAGAAAAAAAAAAUUAAGCACGACGCGGCAUGAGCACGAGCACGCGUGGACUUCCUUUGACGGACCACCUCUAGUCAAUACAUUAAAAAAAAAAAACAGUUUCAAUAUUUUUAUGAAAACCUCGGGAGGGGGUUCGGCCCUUAUGCUUGAAUUCAUUGUGAGCCCAUCAAAACCCUACACUCAUCUGUUGUCCUCUUAAUCUUCAUAACAUCCAUAUUAAAUUACUGAGAAAUACGAAAGCGGAAGCGUACCUGAAUCCAUGGUGAUUCGUAGUGGUUCUUGAGUGUAGGAGAUGGACUUCCAAUCUUUUCUUUUUCUUGAGUUUAGAAUUCUCUUUGAGAGGAUUAGAGAAUUACAAAAGAUUAUUCGAGAGAUUGGGGACCAUAACCCCUUUUUAUAUAAAUAUCGUGACUAUUAGUUUUCUUUUUAGAAAAGCCAACAGUCACGUAUUUAUGAUAAUAAUCACUUCAGCCCCUCAUUAAAGUGAUGAUUAAAUUCUAGUAUCUAUGCAUUUAAUCCACAAUAAUUAUACCCUUAACCAUUUAAUGAACUUCAAUUAGAUCACGUAAUUCUUGGCUUAUUAAAUAAUAGCACACACAUUUUAUUUAUUUCAUGUGUGUCCCCAAAUAUAUUAGAUUAAUAUAAAAUUAAUCUAACAAUAUCUCCCACUGGGCCACAAAUGAAAAACUGAAAUGUGUCCAACUUAAUGAGCUCAUGAAAUUGCUAUUAUGUCCGUAGGGUAUAUAUGAACAAUCUAGUUCAAUAACUACUCGGUAUAUGAUCAUAGCGGCCUUUGUUACAUUAAUCGUAACGCAACCAUCCAUGGUCACAUAUAUCAAGAUAGUUACAUAACAUAGAUCAAUUGUGGAUGCAUAGCAUGGAAAUUACAUGCAAUGUGAUCUAAACAUGUCUAUUCCCAACUGGUCCUAAUUCACUUUAUUGAGAUCUAAACUUAAGUUAGUCCAACAGAGUGUAAGGAACCGAAAUACUGUAUUUCUGCAGAAAAUAAUCUGAAUAAUAUAAUCAAAAAUCUAAAAGUCGCACUUAGUAAUGGUACAAACUCCCACUAAAUCUGAAUAUCUUCAAAUAAAAUCACACCCAUACGAGCAGUGUGCUCAUGAAAGACUUUAGGUGGUAAUCCUUUAGUGAGCGGAUCCGCUAUCAUGGAGUUUGUCCCAAUGUGCUCUAUAGAUAUUUGUCCACUCUGUACUCUUUCCUUCACAACAAGGAACUUGAUGUCAAUGUGUUUUGACUUUGUAGAGCUCCUGUUGUUGUUGGAAUAUAAAACUGAUGACUUAUUGUCACAAAAUAUCUUGAGCGGUUUUUCUACACCCUCUAGAAUGCGCAGCCCAGUGACAAAAUUACGCAACCAUAUGCCUUGAUUAGACGCCUCAUAACAUGCUACAAACUUUGCUGCCAUAGUCGAUGAAGCUACAAGUGUCUGCUUGGCAGAUCUCCAAGAAAUUGCUCCACCAGCUAACAUGUAAAUAUAGCCUGAUGUGGAUCUUCGGCUAUCUUGGCAUCCAGCAAAAUCAGAGUCGGAAUACCCAAUGAUCUCUAACUGAUCCGACCUUCUAUAUGUGAGCAUGUACUCUUUUGUUCUCUAUAAGUACCUCAUAACCCGUUUGGCUGCUUUCUAAUGAUCCAUCCCGGGAUUGCUCAAAUAUCUGCCUAACAUGCCAACUAUGAACGCAAUAUCUGGACGCGUACAUACUUGAGCAUACAUAAGGCUCCCUAUAGCUGAAGAAUAAGGAAUCUUCUCCAUUUCCUGGAUUUCAAGAUUGGUCUUAGGGCAUUGACUAAGGCUGAAUUUAUCUCCUUUGGCGACAGGGGUGUCACCUGGUUUACUGUUUUGCAUGCCAAACUUCUUUAAAACUUUAUCGAUAUAGUUCCUUUGUGACAAUCCCAGAAUACCCCGAGAACGAUCCCGAUGUAUCUCGAUUCCUAAAACAAAGGAGGCAUCACCAAGAUCUUUCAUUUCAAAAUAUUUUGAUAGAAAACUCUUGGUGUCAUGCAGUAUGUCUAUAUCAUUUGUGGCAAGCAAUAUGUCAUCAACAUAUAAAACCAGGAAUAUAUGUUUACUCCCACUGAACUUGUGAUACACACAUUCAUCAAUAACAUUUGCCUUAAAACCAUAUGAGAUAAUUAUUUGAUGAAAUUUAAAGUACCAUUGACGAGAAGCUUGUUUGAGCCCAUAGAUGGAUUUGGUUAGCUUACAAACCAUUUUCUUUGGGCCUCCCAACACAAAGUUUUCUGGUUGUACCAUAUAAAUUGUUUCCUCAAUGUCACCAUUAAGGAAAGCAGUCUUAACAUCCAUCUGAUGUAACUCAAGAUCAAAAUGUGCAACAAGUGACAUAAUUGUCCUAAAAGAGUCUUUCGUAGAAACCGGAGAGAAAGUCUCUUUAUAGUCAAUUCCUUCCUUUUGAGUAAAGCUUUUAGCUACCAGACGUGCUUUAUACCUUUCCACAUUACCUUUUGAAUCCCUUUUGGUUUUAAAUAUCCAUUUACAACCAAUGGGCUUCGCACCAGAAGGUAAUGAGAUGAGUUCCCAAACUUUAUUGUCUUGCAUUGACUUGUACUCUUCAUUCAUGGCUUCGAUCCAUUUAUGAGAAUUGGAGCUUUGCAUGGCUUGAUGAAAGUUAAUUGGGCCAUCUUCCAUCACUCCAGUUUCAUCCUCAUGUUCCUGAAGAAAUACUAUAUAAUCAUCCGGAAUAGCAUUUCUCCUUUCUCUUGUGGAUCGUCUUAAUUGCACAGGCUCUUGAGGUUGUUGAGUUUGUUCCUCAGGAACAAUCAUUUCAUGUUGAUGUUGGGGUUGAACAAUAUUGUCAGAUGGUUGAGGAUCUGAAUUUACUUCAUGAUCAAUGACAGGUAUUAAAACUUGUACAUUGUCAAAAGCAACAGUGGAUCCCUCUUCAUCUUCAAAGACAAUGUUUCUUACUGGAUUUCUCCCCCCAAACUCAACAUCCUCAAAGAAUGUAGCAGUUCCCGUCUCAAAAAUUGACCUUGUAUUGGGAUCAUAAAACUUAAAACCCCUUGAUCGCUCUGCAUAGCCAACAAAGUAGCUGCUUACAGUUUUGGAAUCCAAUGUCCUUUCAUGAGGUCUAUAAGGCCUCGCCUCAGCUGGACAGCCCCAAAUAUGUAAAUGGUUUAGACUAGGCUUGCGACCCGUCCAAAGCUCAUAAGGUGUUUUAGCAGCCAUUUUAGUUGGCACUCGAUUUAGGAUAUAAGCUGCUGUUUUUAGUGCUUCACCCCAGAGUGAUUCUGGUAAAGUAGAAUGACUGAUCAUACUUCUUACCAUAUCCUUAAGAGUGUGGUUUCGUCUCUCAGAGACACCAUUCAUGUUAGGCGAUCCUGGUAUAGUAUAUUGAGGGACAAUUCCACAUUCCGCUAAGUAUUUAGCAAACGGUCCUGGACGUUGUUCACCUGAACCAUCAUAUCUACCGUAGUAUUCACCACCACGGUCAGACCUGACAUUUUUAAUCCUUUUGUUGAGUUGUAACUCAACUUCGGCUUUAAACGUUUGGAACACAUCCAAAGACUGUGAUUUUUCAUGAAUCAGGAAUAUAUAGCCAUAUCUCGAAUAGUCGUCUAUGAAGGUAAUGAAAUAUUGUUGACCAUUCCAAGUAGUUGUAGGGAAUGGUUCACAGAUAUCUGUAUGAAUUAAUUCUAAGACGGCUGAUGUUCUGUAGGCUCCUAAUUUCUUACUUUUGGUUUGUUUUCCCUUGAUACACUCAAUACAAACAUCAAGGUCUGUAAAAUCAAGAGAUCUUAAAAUCUCAUCAGACACUAAUCGCUCAAGUCGAGCUUUAGAGAUGUGACCUAAGCGUUUGUGCCAUAAUGAGGCUGAAUUUUCUUUUUCUAAUUUACGCUUUAUACUUCUGGAACUAAAAUGCAGGUUUUCAUUAUAACGUGAAACAGUGUCUAGCAAAUAUAGAUUGUCAUAAGCAUUAAGUAAACCGGUUCCAAUAACAUUAGAAUUGAUAGAUAAACUAAAUUGUCUGUUUACAAAUGAACAAGAAUAACCAGAUUUGUCCAAAACAGAAACUGAAAUUAAAUUCCGUCUAAAAGACGGAACAACAAAAGUAUCUAACAAAUCCAAAUAACAACCAGUUUUCAUAAGUAAUCUAAAAUGCCCAAUUGCUUCAACUUCUACCGUCUUGCCAUCUCCUACAUAAAUGCAUCUUUCAGCAUCACUUGGCGGCCGGUAGCUCAGGCAACCCUACAAUGAAACACAAAUGUGAGUAGUAGCACCCGAAUCUAUCCACCAUGUGUUUCUUGGUACUGAAGCUAAAUUAGUUUCAGAACAAACCAAAGUAAGAAAUGUACCUUUCUUUACGCGUCAUGCGUGAUAUUUUUGACAUUCCUUCUUCACAUGUCCAGGCUUGCCGCAGAAGAAACAGCCAUGCUCGGCCUUUGGUUUGUUUGGCUCUGGACCCUUACAAGCAGCAGCUUCACCUUUUUUCGUCCUUUUGCCCUUAUGUUUAGAAGUGCUUACCAUAUGUGCAUAUUCGGAUUUCUCUUGCUUCAUUCUCUCUUCUUCUUGCACACAAAAGGAAAUCAGUUCAUUGAGAUUCCAUUUUUCUUUCUGACAAUUGUAACUGACUUUCAACUGAUUAAAUUGUGUUGGGAGAGAGAUAAAGACCAAAUGCACAACCAAAUCAUCAUAUAGGUCGAGCCCUAAUGCCUUAAGCUUAGAAGCAAGAUGAGACAUCUCCAUGAUGUACUCCCGAACGUUUCCCUUGCCUUUAUACUUCAUUGAAAUCAAGCUUGCUAAAUGCGUACUUGUUUCAGCCUUAUCGUUUUUUGUAAAACGUUUCUGAAUUUCGGUAAGAAACUCACUAGCACUUGUAACCUCAUCAGUUGUAGCACUCCUAAAUACUUCUGGAAUACUGCGCUUCAUGAUCAUAAGACUUAUCCUGUUAGAUCGAUCCCACUUCUCAUAGUAUAACACAUCCUCAGAUGUACUAUCAUCAGUGAGUUCGUCCGGCUUAGGGUGUCUGAAUGAUAAGUCUAGAUCCAUGCAGCCUAAGAGAAUCAUCAUAUUCUCUUUCCAGUCCUUAAAAUUAGUCCCAUUUAGAACCGGGACACUAUUCAUGUUUGCAGAUAUAGAAGUAGCAGACAGAAAAGCUGAAUAAAGAAAAAAAAUAAUGCUCACAUUAAAUAACUCAAGUAAUAAUCUUUAAAAAUUAAAAAAAAUUAUAACAUUUCAAGAUACCUAGCACAACAUUAGUAACAAGUCUUUGGACUAUAAUACUAAUUGUAAAUGGUACUCUUGUUGCAAUGAUCAAAUUUUGACAAUAAAUUAUGUCAAGUAAUGAACUAAUCUUUGGAUUAGUAAAUUACUCACAUUAAGUUAUCUUAAUAAUCGUCACAAAUUUACCAUCACAAGUGUGUGUGUAAUUAGGCCAAAUAUUAACCUUCCUUUGGGUCGAUUAACAUCCGCAGUAAUUACACAAACACAAACAUCUAACACUUCAAAUAAACUACUCUACACAAGAGAUAUCACUUUGGUGACUUCUUGUUUUAAUUAGCAUAUCAUCAAUGUUAGACCAAUAAUAAACUUAUGUUAUAAAACCAUAACCGAAAUAAUUGAUAAAACCGAAACCGAAACGUGGUCUAACCACAACAAUUACAAAAUUUUAAGCAAAAUGAUAUUAAUAACUCAAUAAUCUAAUCAUGGAUGUGGCUCUGAUACCACUUGUUGUCCUCUUAAUCUUCAUAACAUCCAUAUUAAAUUACUGAGAAAUACGAAAGCGGAAGCGUACCUGAAUCCAUGGUGAUUCGUAGUGGUUCUUGAGUGUAGGAGAUGGACUUCCAAUCUUCUCUUUUUCUUGAGUUUAGAAUUCUCUUUGAGAGGAUUAGAGAAUUACAAAAGAUUAUUCGAGAGAUUGGGGACCAUAACCCCUUUUUAUAUAAAUAUCGUGACUAUUAGUUUUCUUUUAGAAAACCCAACAGUCACGUAUUUAUGAUAAUAAUCACUUCAGCCCCUCAUUAAAGUGAUGAUUAAAUUCUGGUAUCUAUGCAUUUAAUCCACAAUAAUUAUACCCUUAACCAUUUAAUGAACUUCAAUUAGAUCACUUAAUUCUUGGCUUAUUAAAUAAUAGCACACACAUUUUAUUUAUUUCAUGUGUGGCCCCAAAUAUAUUAGAUUAAUAUAAAAUUAAUCUAACAUCAUCAGUGUCUGGAACAAGGCCCGGUCCUUUUUUUUUUGUUUUUUUGGUUUUUUUAUAGGGACGAGGCCCGUUCUUGAUAAUAAAAAAAAUAGAAUAAUUGGUGUGAAGGCUGUUGCCACAAGAACCCAUCAAUGACUUCAUUUCUUUAAUGGUCAAAUCGUGUAAACAAUUGUUUUUUUUUUUAAACAAAAAUCUUCCACUGAAUUGUGUGAAAACCAUCGACCACAAAGGUCAAAUUUUGCGCUUAGUGUAUGUUGGCACCACGACUUCAACUCUCCUAUAUUCAUGGUGAUUGGUAGCUCUACUCUGAUACAAACUCAAAGUCCAUAUAUAGCUUCACGAGUUGAUUUUAUUUGAGUGUACAUUAUCUUAAUUUGCACAUAUGAUGAUACAAGUGAUCUUAACUUCUUAUUGACUCCUCAGCCGCUUGAAUAAGAUGUGCUCUUAAGUAUUUCUCUCUUUCCUGUUCAGGAACACAUUCAUGUAUGUUAUGAUAAAUUCAAAGUUACAUUAUUUUGAUUUUCUUUCUUCAGAAAAGUUAACGAAGGUAAAAAAAGGAUGGCCAACUAGUAGCUAACAGUUAGAUAGGGUUACAAGAAGAACAAAAAUUAUAAAAUUAUGCAUAUCGCAUACUUUAUGUAUUAUGUUAAAUGUACUAUUUUUCAUUUUUAAAGAGAGAUUGUUGUAACAUGUUCUAAGAGUUAGAAAUUUUAAUCCGGUCUAAUUUUGUUUUAACGAAUAAUUAAUAGAUAUCUAACUGUGUAAUAAAUGAUACUUUAAUUUCAAGGUUAUGUAAAUUCAUAGGAUAUUAGUUUUAAAUGAGACUAACAAGCUAAAAUAAAGACAUGUUUGGUAUUAAGGUUGGACAACUAUAGUUUGAAAGUUACAACACUAUACUGUUUAGUAAAUACUAUCUAUUAUAGUUAAGAAGUUAAAUUGAUUUAAUCAACUGCUUUUAUGAUGAAAAACUUAUGAUAUUUUUAAUAUUUUUGUCAAAAUUAUUAUUUAAAAGUUAUGUUUACUAUACAUUAUUAACUUUUAUUUUAUAAUUAUACUUUUAAUACCAAAUAGGAACUAAAAUUAUUAAGUAUAACUUAGUCUAGAAGAGGGCUCACCGUUAAUGGAGAUAUAGAGGCCACAAUCGUAUCCAAUUCCUCCAAACAUUCUUCUUCAAGCGCCACCGUGCUUACAAGCUCGGUAAGCAUAUACAGAAUCCUCUCACCCUGAGCAAAUUAUAUGAGAAUAGUCAAUAAACAUAAUUAUUGCUCGUAUGUAUACGUAUAUAUUAAUAAAUCAAAGUUAUAUCUUGCUAUAUAUAUAUUUUACGAUAAGACAUUGCACAAGAAAUUUCCCAUUUCGUCCCCGUUGGCACAUCCUUCAUGAUUUGGGGUAUAUCCCCCUAAUUAGUGCCUCCUAUUUCAUCCUAUUAUCCACUUAGUUUUUAUAUUUUAAAAAUUAUCUAAAACACUUAUCAUAUAUCUAUAUUUAUGUUAAAAUCUAUCUAAUUUUAUUUAUUUUUCAUGUGUUGCAUGUCGGAUUUAUUUGAAUUUAAAUUAUAUGAAACAAUCAAACAAACAUUAUUUUACUCUUGAAAAAUCAUAUCUGUCAACUACAAGAGCAACAACAAGAGUAUUUUAGAUAAUAUUUAAAAAUAUUAAAACUAAUUGAGUAAUUGACUGAAAUUAUAGGGACUAAAAAAACAUGUACUCCCAAAUUUGUAUGGUGACAAAAAAAAUUCUAAGUUAAAAAAAAAAAAUUUGCGAUGUAAAAGAAAAUUGAACCUGUGGGAGCAGGAAUUUAGUAAUUGUUGCUUCUAUGCCAUUCAUUACUUGCGAGGCUGUGCUCAUGGCCUCAUAGAUGGACUUCACGUCUGCCUGCAAAUAACAAAAUCAUAAUUACAAUUGACUAAUUUCUUUUUUUUUUUAAGGUAUCAUUGACUAAUUCUUAUUAGAAAAAACUGUGGCAAAACAUUUAGAAAUGGGCAUUAUGCAUGUAGUCGGAAUUUUAAACUGCGAGAACGUUCGGAAAAAUACAUAAACUAUGCAGUUUAAGUGCUUUAAAUUAGUCUUUAAAAUCCCGCAUUUUUAAAGUAUUCUCAUAUUUUUCCUACACUUUAAGAUCUUGGACCAGAAAACUACUAAUAUAUAUAUAUAUAUAUAAUUCAAAUACAAAAGCAUAAUAAUAUUAAUUUAUAUAUAGUGGGGUUUAACUGAAACAUUAGCCAAUUUGCGUAUAAGUUUUAUGUAUUGGCCCCCAAAACAUACUGUUUUUAGAUUACGGCCUCUUCAAGUUGUUGUUUCUCUUUUAUGCUGUAUGCUUUUUUCGAAUAAAUAACAAUGAUUAAGAGGUGAUAUGGUAUUCUCCUCAUCUCAUGUAAGAAUCACACAGAUUCUGCCACUGAGUAUAAUUAAGACUCAAAUUAUGUAAGGGAAGAAAAGUGAUGCGCACCUGAACAUCAUCAUCACAAGGGAUUUUCACACAGAGAGCUGAUAAUUUUCUUGUAACCCUGCCGACUGCUUCAAUAUUUUUCCCCUCCAAUUUUGCCCAAUCGUUGAGUAGACGAAUUUGUGGAUUGACAAUCUGACAUAGCUUGAUCUCAUGUUGCAACUUGUGCACUUCAAUUUUCUUCUCUAAAAUUAGAUUUCUCAUUUUUAAUACUCUGAGCCACACUCCAAAUAUUUUACCCUGAAAAUUGUUUAAAAAUCAUAUAGGUAAAUUUACAAGACGACCAUCCGUAACCGUACAAAUGAAAUCAAUAUUUUGGUUUGCCGGGGCAAACUUGGGAAGAUCAUUUCAUAAAAAAUAUAAAUCUGAGAGGUACAUAAAAAUGAGUGUAACUUCAGUUUCUUUUUGAACUUAAGUUUAGUUUCAAUUUCUUGUCAUGUUAAUUUGAGUCUAGUUUUUCUUUUUAAAAAUCUAUAUACCUUUUUAACACUUAGGUUGGCAGGGAAAAAAAAUAAUUAUUGAUACUAAUUAGCAUAUAUAUUGUUUUAAAAUUCUCAAAGAAAUGUAUUGUUUUAGAAUUUAAAUUAAUAAUGAAAAAUCAUUUACCUCAGCAGCAGUCUUUAAAGAAGCCGCGGCAGCUUCAGCUCUAGCAUUUGCAAGCCUAUACUGCAGCAAUCUAUUAUGCAAAACUCGAAACCUGUGAUACUCCUCUUCUUGCUCCGGUGGCACUUUCUUCUGCCUAAAGUAGUUCAAAAAUCCGGUUACACCGCCGCCGAUGCCUCUAGAUUUCACCCUCCGAGCUCCAUUUUCCGGUGAGGACUCCGGCCGUACCAUACAGGGGGAAGAUCGUCCCGGUGACAACUCCCACGCCGACGGAGAGCUCGUGACCGAUUUGACCUUAGUACUCUUUGCUACUGCAUGAUCAGAAAUGUAAUUAUUACGUGGACUGCCCCUUUGCAACAGCCUACCAAAACCAUUUUUGUUGUCCUUAAUGUUUUUNNNNNNNNNNNNNNNNNNNNNNNNNNNNNNNNNNNNNNNNNNNNNNNNNNNNNNNNNNNNNNNNNNNNNNNNNNNNNNNNNNNNNNNNNNNNNNNNNNNNNNNNNNNNNNNNNNNNNNNNNNNNNNNNNNNNNNNNNNNNNNNNNNNNNNNNNNNNNNNNNNNNNNNNNNNNNNNNNNNNNNNNNNNNNNNNNNNNNNNNNNNNNNNNNNNNNNNNNNNNNNNNNNNNNNNNNNNNNNNNNNNNNNNNNNNNNNNNNNNNNNNNNNNNNNNNNNNNNNNNNNNNNNNNNNNNNNNNNNNNNNNNNNNNNNNNNNNNNNNNNNNNNNNNNNNNNNNNNNNNNNNNNNNNNNNNNNNNNNNNNNNNNNNNNNNNNNNNNNNNNNNNNNNNNNNNNNNNNNNNNNNNNNNNNNNNNNNNNNNNNNNNNNNNNNNNNNNNNNNNNNNNNNNNNNNNNNNNNNNNNNNNNNNNNNNNNNNNNNNNNNNNNNNNNNNNNNNNNNNNNNNNNNNNNNNNNNNNNNNNNNNNNNNNNNNNNNNNNNNNNNNNNNNNNNNNNNNNNNNNNNNNNNNNNNNNNNNNNNNNNNNNNNNNNNNNNNNNNNNNNNNNNNNNNNNNNNNNNNNNNNNNNNNNNNNNNNNNNNNNNNNNNNNNNNNNNNNNNNNNNNNNNNNNNNNNNNNNNNNNNNNNNNNNNNNNNNNNNNNNNNNNNNNNNNNNNNNNNNNNNNNNNNNNNNNNNNNNNNNNNNNNNNNNNNNNNNNNNNNNNNNNNNNNNNNNNNNNNNNNNNNNNNNNNNNNNNNNNNNNNNNNNNNNNNNNNNNNNNNNNNNNNNNNNNNNNNNNNNNNNNNNNNNNNNNNNNNNNNNNNNNNNNNNNNNNNNNNNNNNNNNNNNNNNNNNNNNNNNNNNNNNNNNNNNNNNNNNNNNNNNNNNNNNNNNNNNNNNNNNNNNNNNNNNNNNNNNNNNNNNNNNNNNNNNNNNNNNNNNNNNNNNNNNNNNNNNNNNNNNNNNNNNNNNNNNNNNNNNNNNNNNNNNNNNNNNNNNNNNNNNNNNNNNNNNNNNNNNNNNNNNNNNNNNNNNNNNNNNNNNNNNNNNNNNNGAAAUUAUAUUGAGAUGUUGAGAGCACGUUGAGCUCAGCUUUUUCCAUUGUAUUGGUUAAUAUUAUUCUCUUUUCCAUAGUUUAUAGCUCUCACGUCAAGGCUUUCACGUACGAAGAAGGAAUCUCAAUAUAAUGGGAUAUAUUUGAGGCCUUUGAAUAUUAAAGAAGCAUUAUAUUUUAAUCAAGAAUUAGGCAACGGAAAAAUAUUUUAAUAUGUAGUUGAAUAUAGAUAUGGUUAAUUUAAUGUUUAUUGACCUCCAUUUAAUUUGAUUUCAUAGUAUCUUUCCCAUGAUUAAAGAAAAGCGUUUCUAAGAGGGUCUAUUUUUGGGUACAUAUGUAUUGAGUCCUAAGCUUUUGUUUCUUCUUCUUUGGCUUUUGUCUUUUUCAAUUUUUGGAAUUUCUGUUCAUCAUUCCAUAGCCUAUUUCUUUUCACUAUUAUAUAUAUAUAUAUAUGUUGCCGAUUUAGAACUUGCAUGCAUGUCUUCCUUGGUUCCAAUAAUUAUGCUAUUGAAGAAUAUUAUAUACAUGAAUGUUUUGAAGAGUGUUACACAUUUGAAUAUUAUAUUCUAACUUUGAGAUUUCAAUGAUAACUUGGUGUCAGUGCUCUAGAAUAAUAAAAUUGAAGUACGGGUAGUUGAUUUAAUUUAGUUUGAUCUUAAUGGAUAAUGCCUCUUUUAUUCGAGGUGAUUAAUUAGAAUUUGGAUUCAACGUUUAGCUAAUCUAUAUUAGUUUUCUAAUAACAUUCUGCCACACAUUUAGUUUCAGUAGUAUACCUUUAAGUUUCUUUGGACUAUCUUUUCAAAUAGAGUUAAUUUAAAUAGAGAUUUCACAAUGUAAAAUAUUUUAGUUAUUUUGUUGUCAAUGAGAGCUUAAUUUUAUUAAAUUGUAAAAGAGAUAUUAUCAUUUUCCCACCAAAGAUAUUCUGACACAUCAUGUCAGUACCAUAGUUUGGUAAAAACAUCAUUUUACCACCAAACGUUUAAACUGUUAGUAUUUUCCCACCAUUCUGUUAAAACUGAGUUAAUAUUUAACGAAAAAUGCAUAAAAAGUCAAUUUUACCCUUGGAGCGUAAAAUAUGAUUUUACCCUUUAAAAAUGAAGAACAACAAAAGAUGAUUUAAUUACAAAAUUACCGCCAAAAGUAGCCGUUACAUUCAAAUAAUGGCUACUUUUGUGCUUAUAAGAGUUGGCUGCAACUAGCAACCCCAAUUCAAAGAUUAGCAACCCCAUUUGAGCACCACCAACCCCAGCUGAAAAAGAAAGAAAAUGGCAACCCAACAACUCAAAUUUUAAAGCAUUUCAAUACCACUACACUAGCAAGCCCAUCCAUUUUUAAACACCAGCAAGCUCAUUUUAAUACUAGCAAUCAGGCCAUUUCAACAGUGGCAACCACAUUUCAAAAAGUCAGAAAAUGACAUGCCCAACUCACAGACAGCAAAACCAAACAUACUUUAUCAUUCAAAGACAUUAAGAAUAAGCCACUGUAAACACUACAUUUCGUCUAAGCUCAAAAAAUCCAGCUCUUCUCAAUCUUCAUUCAAAACCAAACAUACUUUCAGCCUUGAUACACAUAAAUUCAAACAAAACAAUGGCCUCCAGUAGUAACUUAAGUGCUAAUACCAGGGUUCGAGUUAAGAAACGUGCUGAAGUUACCUACUACCCUAAAUACUGCAAUUGUGGAGUGUAGGCAUGUGCAAUGGUAUCUACUAUCUCGGAAAAUCCUAAUGAGCUCUUUUGGACAUACAGGUUUAAAAAGAGUAAUUUUUUGCAAUGGGCAACAAAAAAAGAUAUGGAAAUGCGUAACACUACAUCCGGUCAUGGCAUGAACCUAAAUGAAGAUAUGAUGAAGAUAAGUGAAUGGCUACGAUGCAUUUAAGCGAAACUGAAAUUGGUCAUAGUUUUUAUUUGUGGUCUUAUGAUAGGCUUAUCUAUGAGGAAUAAUGUAAUAAACAUGAAAAAAAAUUGUAGCAAUCAAUCAUUGUAGUUGAAGAUGUAAUGAAGCAUUAUAGUUUAAGAUGUAAUGAAAAUCGAAAGUACUCAAAACAGUUUGUGCAUUCAAAAUACAUAAUAUAACAGCAGUGAAUACAGUAAAAAACAGUUUGUGGAUUCCAAAAACAUAACAGCAACUUAAUGCACUAAUAUAAAGUUUGUGCAUCUAUAAUACAUAACAACACCCUAAUGUUAAUAUUUCAUAAAGCAUCUAAUAUCUGUGAAGCUUGUGAGCCUUGAGUUGGAUUCAGGGAAACAUUAUCAGCUUCAUAUUGGCCUAGACAAAAAAAUUAUUGCCUCAUUAUCUAAGACCAGCAAUAGCUAUUUGCAGACAUCAAACAUUAAUUUGAAACAGUAACAAACUCUUGUAUCUCUAGUUGUCAUUCUUCUAUUAUCUCCUCUUACUCCACCCCUUGCUCUUGCUCUAUUACCCCCUUGGCUCCUUCGACUUCUAUUCCCUCCUCUUCCUCUAUUGCCAAUACCUCCUCUUCCUCUAUGAGCAAUAAAGCUCUCUUGUGAACCACCUACAACCUAUUUAAAUUGAAAUAUAUAAAUAAUUGAAUCAUCAAUAUGUAUAGCAAACUAAAUAUUAUUCAAUUAAUAACAAAAAAUGAAUUACUAUUUUCUUUGUCCUCUUCAAAGUACUUGCUACAUUGAAACUUUCUCCCGACCCACUAACUCCCUACUUAAAAUUACAUAGAUAACAAUAAAAAUUAAGUUCAAUACACGUAAAAGCAAUUAAUACAAUAGGUUUAAUAUACUGUUACCUGAUUCUGGGCUCUUAAUUCUCUUGCUAUCGAUGGCCUUAAUGCACAUUUCCUGACAUUGUGGUUCAUCCCACCAUAAAAGGAACAUCAGAUAUAAAAUGAUCUUUUUUUUUUUAUUGGCUCAGUGGCUGCUCUUUUCCUUAACUUUUUGGUCUUCCAAUCUUCUUGGUAAUCUCAGGUGGAGAGAGCUUGGGCCUAUCACAAGGGUCCCAUGUAACUUUGUCAGGAAUUGGCUUGAACAUCACUGCAUAUGUGUUUAAGUACGCCUCUUUGGUAAGUAUUUUGGUAGAUACUAUGUUGUCGUGUGCCUAGCAUGACUAAUUGCAGCCCAUAGUAUGAGUACAUGGGAUUCCAGCUAGGUCACAAUAACCACAAUCACAGGACCUGCUCACGAGAUCGACAAUGAACCUCCUUACUGGAUAAUAACCCUUGUCUUUAACCUAACAAAAAUUUGAAUAAUGAUUAAAAGAAGCACAUUCAGGUUCAAGAAAAAAUUAAUUAUAAGGAAAAUGAGUGAGAAUUAUACUUGAAAGUGAAGAUCCCCAGAAGCCAUUAUAUUUUUUUUUUUCACUCUAGGUGGAAUGUUGGUCCAAGAUUGUUUUUUUUUUUCCUUUCUGUGAAGAGUGUCAUAAGCGUGCAUCUAAUUCCUUCAAGCAUGGUCAAGCAAGGCUUCUCUUUGUGAGGUAAAAUCUAACUAUUGAAACACUCUGAAGUGUUGUUAGUUGUACGAUUUACUUUGCAAUUAUUGUCAUAUUCAUAUCUUGACCAAGUAAACCCAGCAAACUCAGUCUCUAGCCACUGUCAUGCCUCUAACUCCUCUUUUUUUAGCAUUUCCAUUGCAAUCGUGUAAUCAUACUUGUUAGUGCUACUGACAACCAUCCAAAAUAGAUUUCUCAGACUAACACUAGGAUGUUCUUUGUAGAAGUUAGCAUAUACGUGUCUAGCACAUGGUUUGUGAUAUGUAGUAGGCCAUGUCAUUUCAAUCACCCCCAACAAACCUUUUUGCCUAUUUGUUCAAAAUGUAAUAUGGUCUAAUCCAUUAUUAAAAUAUGAAUACAUAAUUUCUAAAAAACCACGUCCAGGUUUCAGUAUUCUCUAUCUCACACACUGUUAAUGCUAAUGGGACCAUUCCAUUAUUAGCAUACAUACCCACAACGGCUAAUAGAACUCCACUAUAUUUUGAUUUCAAGUGACACCUGUCCAACCCGAUAUAUGGCCUACAACCAUUGCUAAAGGCAUUUUUUUGAGCUAGAAAUGCCAUAAAGAAUCUCUAAAAGAGCGCUUUCUCAGGCCUAGUUACAGCGUCACAAAGCACUUUACAAAUUGCACCAAGAUCAUACUUGUGAAUCACUGCAGUAUAUUGAAACAAAUCUUUAUAUCCCUUCGCAUGAUCUCCAUUAAUGUCUUUUCUUGCCCUCUCUCUAGCCCUAUAUAGUUUUAAAUCCCAUAUCCGCACACCAUAAGUCUCCUGCAUAAACUCGUGAAGACCAGAAAUCUUCACAUGAGGAUCUACAACAACUUUGCUCUUAAUUUUCUCUGCUAUCCAUUUACUGCUCACAGCCACUGACCUUUCAGUCUGUCUACAUUCAUGCUUCUUCUGCAACUCUUUGAUUGCAGAUCCACUCUUACCCCUUAUUUUACCUCUCAUCACAUACCAUGAACAAUCAUCAAUCUUGCAUUUCUCGUAAAAUCUCCUAGGCUCAUUGUAUACCUUUGUAAUUUCAAAGCCUUUAUCCACCAUCACUUUACCUAACACAUAUUUAAAAUGCUCAACAUCAUCAAAUACAUCUCCUAACCUCAGUCUAUGUUUACCAUUACGCCCUGGCUUAUAUGCAUGCACUUCAAUAUAAUUCUUUAGCUGAGUGGUACCCAAAUCAUAAUCUAAAUCUUAUGUGUCUGCUAACAGUUCAUGAUCUACUUUAGCUGUUUCAUCGUCAAAACUAGAACCCCUGACAUUAUCCAUAAUAUCUGCACCCUUAGCUACAUUUUGGUCAUCGUCAUCAUCAUCAUCAUCAGUGUCAUCUAUACGACUCCCAUCAGUUGAAUAUACUACAUCAUCAUCAUCAGUCUCAUGCCCAUCAUUCUCAUUCAGCUCUGUUGGUGGCCCUUGUAUGCCUUCAGUCCUAGGUGGUGGUUCAUUUCCACCGUUAUUCACCCAUGUAAUUUGCUCUGCGGAUAGCUGCACUCCAAAGUUAUAUAGCAUCGCUUGUAACACCCCCACAAAAUGGUAAAUCAGGACGUAGGGUUGGCAAAAUUGUGGCUUCAAACACUGCCACUUCCAUUGAAUCAUGUGCACCGAACUGAACCUGCAAGGCUGCCUCAGAAUCUAUAAUAAUCGAAAGCUUGUUCCUUGGGUUGGUAACCGAUAACUGCACACUUUCAGGAGUCGUCAACCCAUGCUCAUUAAUAAUCUUCAAUGCUUCAUUCUUCAUCUGCUGCAGGGUAUCUUCAUCAGGUUCAAUCAACCCUAUACGGUGUCUUUCACCUUUGUAUAGUAAAUGUAGUUGUAUUGGUAACAUCAUCUACAAGAUUAAAAACGAGGAAAAAUUAUGAAUAACCAAAAUUACAGCACAACUCAAAGCAAUUUAAUUAGGUAAAAAGUAAUGAAAAAUAACAAAAAUUAUGGCCAAUAACCAAAAUUACAGCAAAACAGCAAAUGCAUGUAAGCUCGACGGUUACAAAUAAAAGAUUAAUUAACAGUAAGCAACUAAUAAUCCUAAUCUAUUAAAUUCAAGUGCUAAUCACAACUCAAAGCAAUUUAAUUAGGUAAAAAGUAACGAACAAUAACCAAAAUUAUGCCCAAUAACCAAAAUUACAGCAAAACGGCAAAUGCAUGUAAGCUUGAUGAUUACAAAUACAAUGGCAAAAAUUAAUUAACAAUAAGAAAGUAGUAUAUUGAACAUAACCAAAAAAGAAAAAGAAAAAAGAGGUCAACAACUUACAAUGAACAGAGUAUAAGACAGUAGAGAUGGGAACAACACUGGUACGAGAGUGAGAGAGAUAUGGGUCAGUGACAAUGAGCGAGAGAGGGCGGAGAUGGAACAAGAAACGAGAGAGAGGGGGUUGAUUUCGAUUUCUAGGGCUUCCAUGUCCAAAUUGCUUUUUUUUUUUUACAAUUGCAAACGCAACGUUUUGGCUUCACGUGAGAUGUCCAAAAUACCCUUAUAACGUCAGUAUAAUUUUUAUUCAGUUAACAGAAUGGUGGAAAAAUACUAACAGUUUAAACGUUUGAUGGUAAAAUGAUGUUUUUACCAAACCGUGGUACUAACAUGAUGUGUCAGAAUAACUUUGGUGGAAAAAUGCUAAUAUCCCAUUAUAAAAUUACUUUAAUGAGCAAAUUUUUUAAAGUUUUAGUAUGAAAGAAAUGAAAUAAAAUUGUCAAAUAAAUAAAGGAUAUUUUAAAUAAUUUAACAUUUUGAAAAACAAUUUCAACUUCUACUCCCAAUAGCCCAAAAUUUGAUAUUAUUCUAAAAGAAGCAAAUAGUUUAUCUAAAUUCAAAAGCUUUACUAAAAAAUAAACAGACAAAAAAAUGAUAAGAGCUUAUGAGAUUAAAUAAACACUAAUGUCCAUUAAAUAUAUGAUACCAAAUAGAUACUUAAGUUGAAUUAAAUCUUAAAACAUUUGCAUCAAUUUCACAAUGUAUGCUCACGACAUAAGGUAAACGCUCAUUUAGUCUUUAUCUUAUGAGAUUGGUAUUAGUUUAGUCCCUAUAUUUUUAAAAGUAUCUCAAAACAUUCCUAUCAUUAAACUAUUGACACCCGUGCCAUUAUUUUUUGUUCAUUUGGUUUGCUUUUACAAUAUUUCCCUCUUACAAUAAGAUUUCUUUUUUAGACAUUAAGAAAAAGAAAAACUAAAUUGCCAAUUUAGUCCCAAAAAUAAAAUAAAAAUAAAAAGAAUAUAUAUUAGUUUUUUUGGGAGCUUGUGUAUGUCCCCAAAAAAUGAUAUUGUAAAAAAACUAAAUUAAUAAUUUUUUAGAUAUUAAUAAAAAUGGCUAAUAUAUUAACUCCUUAGUAGAGUGUUCUACAAAAAUUAAUAUAUAUUCCUUUUGUUUCUAUUUUCUUUUUUGGGUUUAAAUUGAUAAUUUAAUUUUUUUAUUAAUCUCUAAAAAAAGAAAUAUUU
rnacentral:lncRNA from 1 species